GUUUGCACUUGUCGGGGAAGGGUGAGAACCUUCGAUUAAGGUUCGACUCGAGCGAAAGCGAGAGAACGUUGCCAACGGCAACGGCCCGUAGGUUGAGGAGCG
rnacentral:sRNA from 1 species